GUUCAACUCCCUCCCUCACUA
rnacentral:tRNA from 1 species